rnacentral:lncRNA from 1 species
UCCAAUUUCAAAGAAGAAAAAUUUGCUUUUCUUUCUCCCAUCAAAGCCAAGCCAAAACCUUACCAAAACAACUUCUUCCUUUAACCAAAAUUCAUCCUAAGAUCAAGAGCUAAAGGAACAGCCAUAUAGUGAAAGAAUUGAAGAAGAAAAGUUUAGGGUUCCAUAUGCACCAAGCUUGAAAAUCAAAGGUGAGCUUAGAAAUGAGUAGGAAAUAGCAUCAUCUCAUUUCUUUAUGCAUGAAUUUGAAUUAUAAAGCUUUAAUUUAUAGUUUAUUCAUUCCUUUCCUAAGACAUAAAUUGACAUAGGUGAAGGAACAUCAAAGGGAAAGGAGAUAGCUAGAGAUUAGAAGAGGAAAAGAAAAGAAGAAUUCAAGAAAGGUU